CCCAGACUCCUACGGGAGGCAGCAGUGGGGAAUAUUGCACAAUGGGCGAAGGCCUGAUGCAGCAACGCCGCGUGAAGGAAGAAGGUCUUCGGAUCGUAAACUUCUGUCCUUGGGGAAGAUAAUGACGGUACCCUUGGAGGAAGCCCCGGCUAACUACGUGCCAGCAGCCGCGGUAAUACGUAGGGGGCAAGCGUUAUCCGGAUUUACUGGGUGUAAAGGGAGCGUAGACGGAUAAGCAAGUCUGAUGUGAAAAUCCGGGGCCCAACCCCGGAAUUGCAUUGGAAACUGCAUAUCUAGAGUGUCGGAGAGGCAAGUGGAAUUCCUGAUGUAGCGGUGAAAUGCGUAGAUAUCAGGAGGAACACCAGUGGCGAAGGCGGCUUGCUGGACGAUGACUGACGUUGAGGCUCGAAAGCGUGGGGAGCAAACAGGAUUAGAUACCCUGGUAC
rnacentral:rRNA from 1 species